GAGCUUGCUCCUGGAUUAGUGGCGAACGGGUGAGUAACACGUGAGUAACCUGCCCUUAACUCUGGGAUAAGCCUGGGAAACUGGGUCUAAUACCGGAUAUGACUCCUCAUCGCAUGGUGGGGGGUGGAAAGCUUUUUGUGGUUUUGGAUGGACUCGCGGCCUAUCAGCUUGUUGGUGAGGUAAUGGCUUACCAAGGCGACGACGGGUAGCCGGCCUGAGAGGGUGACCGGCCACACUGGGACUGAGACACGGCCCAGACUCCUACGGGAGGCAGCAGUGGGGAAUAUUGCACAAUGGGCGAAAGCCUGAUGCAGCGACGCCGCGUGAGGGAUGACGGCCUUCGGGUUGUAAACCUCUUUCAGUAGGGAAGAAGCGAAAGUGACGGUACCUGCAGAAGAAGCGCCGGCUAACUACGUGCCAGCAGCCGCGGUAAUACGUAGGGCGCAAGCGUUAUCCGGAAUUAUUGGGCGUAAAGAGCUCGUAGGCGGUUUGUCGCGUCUGCCGUGAAAGUCCGGGGCUCAACUCCGGAUCUGCGGUGGGUACGGGCAGACUAGAGUGAUGUAGGGGAGACUGGAAUUCCUGGUGUAGCGGUGAAAUGCGCAGAUAUCAGGAGGAACACCGAUGGCGAAGGCAGGUCUCUGGGCAUUAACUGACGCUGAGGAGCGAAAGCAUGGGGAGCGAACAGGAUUAGAUACCCUGGUAGUCCAUGCCGUAAACGUUGGGCACUAGGUGUGGGGGACAUUCCACGUUUUCCGCGCCGUAGCUAACGCAUUAAGUGCCCCGCCUGGGGAGUACGGCCGCAAGGCUAA
rnacentral:rRNA from 1 species